rnacentral:lncRNA from 1 species
CCUUGUCUUGUUCCUGACUUUAGCGGAAAUUCUUUCAAUGCUCUACACUGCAUUCUAUAAGUACCUCAGUGUCUCUCUCUUUUUUUUUUUCUCUCCAGACAUUCAUGAAUGACCAGUUUUUAUGACUGUGGAUGCACUGAUGACAUCAUUGCUGACUGUCCCAGGGAGAAGCAUUGGACUCUCCACUUGAGAAACAACUGCUUUAAAAUAGCCAAAGUCAUAAAUCAUAGGUGGUAUCCUGUGAAUAUGAAGUCCUCAGAGCUUCCAGAAAGCAGAUUUGAAUUUUGACUACAGCUUACCUUAUCAAGAAACCAACCCCUUACAUGCCAGCAUGAUCACAUGGAAAAAAGUAGUAAGAAAAACAAUCCUUUAUGUUAUCAUUGAAUUUCUGUAUGAAGCCAUCCCUGAAACUUCAUUUACCAGUCCUUUCAACUCUAUG